ACCCGAAGGUGGGAAAUGACAUCCUCCCUCAAUUUCCUAUCGCAGCCCCUAUUUCCCACUUCCCAAACGCCACCGUACUGUAGAGCCCGAGAGAGAGAGAGCGCGCGCGCCACAUGACCUCCCCGGCGGCCCUGGCGCCGCCGCUAGACAACGAUGAUCUCCUCUCCUUGAUCCUCGUCCGCCUCCCGCCGCUGGCGUCCUCUUUCUCCAGCCCCGCCCUCGUCUGCAAGCGCUGGCACCGCCUCGUCCGCGACCCGGGUUUCCUCCGCCGCUUGCGCGCAUUUCAUCGAACACCUCCCGUGGUCGGCUUCUUCCACAACUCCCCGGACUCCCCCCGCUUCGUGGCCACCCAAGGCAUGUCCGGCAUACGAAUUGCCACCGCGGCGCGGGAUCUCCGGAGGGACGGCGCCGGCGGCAUGUGGUGGUUCGUCGACUGCCGCCACGGUCGCGCCCUUCUCCGCAGUCGUGACUGGGUCGAUCUGCUCGUCUGGGAUCCCAUCACCGGCCACCACGUCUUAAUCAACGUCCCCGACCAGGUACGGGCAGGCGCGUCCGACUGUAACGCCGCAGUCCUCUGCCCAUCAGGCACCACUGGCUGCGGGGGCGCUUGCCGCUCCAGCCCCUUCAGUGUGGUUGUCGUGUUCACCAGGGGGCACUGCGCCUUCACCUGCGUGUACUCGUCACUGACCGGAGCGUGGGGCGAGCUGGUCUCCAUGCCGACGCCAUCACAGGAAUGUGAGCUCACGGAGGAGCCUGGCGCCUUUGUUGGGGAUGCAAUGUAUUGGCUACUUGGCGAGAGCAGCAUACUUGAGUUUCGACUGGGUGACCAAAAAUUAGCUCUUGUUGAGCGCCCGUUGGAGAUAUUUUCUGUCUACAGGCGGAACAUCCGUGUUCUGAGGUCCGAAGGCAGCGUGCUUGCCCUUGCUGCUGUGAAGAAUUUUAGCCUGCAUCUAUGGGCACGGGAGGCUGACAAUUGUGGCACUACAAAGUGGGUGCUGCACAGAGCAAUUGAACUCUGUACACUCCUUGAACUGCCAUUGACGCAGCCUCGUGUGGGUUCCAUUCCUGUCUGGAUAAGUGGGCUUGGUGAGGACGGCAAUGUAGUUUUUCUACGGACUAUACUCGGCAUGUUUGUGCUCUGGCCUGAGACUAUGCAGUUCAAGAUGGUCACUAACAACGUGCUCAUGAAGACAGUUUAUCCGUAUGCUAAAUUUUAUUUUCCAGAAGGCCUUUAAUCUGGAUGGUGUUCAUUGGGAUUAAGUAUUGAAGAAAUUUCAUAACUGCGGUUAUUUUUCUGUUGUUCCAGAAUGUGCAUUCAGUUGCUUGGUUGAGGCUAUGGCAUCUGGUUCAUAGAGUAUAGGACUGCACACCAGGAAACAAGAUAAAAAUGUUCUCUGGUGAAGUGGCGAUUGAUGCAGAAGGUACUGCUUCCUAUGCUCAGCAAGCAUUAGUUCCUAAGCUGUUGUGAGAUGUUUAAAUGUUUGAUUCACUUUAUUGGAUCUAUAAACAUUUUAUGUUUAUGCUGUCUAGUUUGUAAUUCAUCCUCUUUUCUACUCCCCUAUUCUAAAUUAUAGAUCGUUUGACUUUUUUGACAUUAA